AUUGAACGCUGGCGGCAGGCUUAACACAUGCAAGUCGAGCGGGGAAAGGUAGCUUGCUACCUGACCUAGCGGCGGACGGGUGAGUAAUGCUUAGGAAUCUGCCUAUUAGUGGGGGACAACAUCUCGAAAGGGAUGCUAAUACCGCAUACGUCCUACGGGAGAAAGCAGGGGACCUUCGGGCCUUGCGCUAAUAGAUGAGCCUAAGUCGGAUUAGCUAGUUGGUGGGGUAAAGGCCUACCAAGGCGACGAUCUGUAGCGGGUCUGAGAGGAUGAUCCGCCACACUGGGACUGAGACACGGCCCAGACUCCUACGGGAGGCAGCAGUGGGGAAUAUUGGACAAUGGGGGGAACCCUGAUCCAGCCAUGCCGCGUGUGUGAAGAAGGCCUUUUGGUUGUAAAGAACUUUAAGCGAGGAGGAGGCUACCGAGAUUAAUACUCUUGGAUAGUGGACGUUACUCGCAGAAUAAGCACCGGCUAACUCUGUG
rnacentral:rRNA from 1 species